GAGUUUGAUCUUGGCUCAGAUUGAACGCUGGCGGCAUGCCUUACACAUGCAAGUCGAACGGCAGCAUGAUCUAGCUUGCUAGAUUGAUGGCGAGUGGCGAACGGGUGAGUAAUACAUCGGAACGUGCCCUGUAGUGGGGGAUAACUAGUCGAAAGAUUAGCUAAUACCGCAUACGACCUGAGGGUGAAAGUGGGGGACCGCAAGGCCUCAUGCUAUAGGAGCGGCCGAUGUCUGAUUAGCUAGUUGGUGGGGUAAAGGCCCACCAAGGCGACGAUCAGUAGCUGGUCUGAGAGGACGAUCAGCCACACUGGGACAGAGACACGGCCCAGACUCCUACGGGAGGCAGCAGUGGGGAAUUUUGGACAAUGGGCGAAAGCCUGAUCCAGCAAUGCCGCGUGUGUGAAGAAGGCCUCGGUGUAAG
rnacentral:rRNA from 1 species